AACGAACGCUGGCGGCAUGCCUAACACAUGCAAGUCGAACGAGACCCUCGGGUUUAGUGGCGCACGGGUGCGUAACGCGUGGGAAUCUGCCCUUCGGUUGGGAAUAACUGAGAGAAAUUUCAGCUAAUACCUUAUAAUGUCUUCGGACCAAAGAUUUAUCGCCGAGGGAUGAGCCCGCGUAGGAUUAGGUAGUUGGUGGGGUAAUGGCCUACCAAGCCGACGAUCCUUAGCUGGUCUGAGAGGAUGAUCAGCCACACUGGGACUGAGACACGGCCCAGACUCCUACGGGAGGCAGCAGUGGGGAAUAUUGGACAAUGGGCGAAAGCCUGAUCCAGCAAUGCCGCGUGAGUGAUGAAGGCCUUAGGGUUGUAAAGCUCUUUUACCCGGGAUGACAAUGACAGUACCGGGAGAAUAAGCUCCGGCUAACUCCGUGCCAGCAGCCGCGGUAA
rnacentral:rRNA from 1 species